CGUGUCCCGCCGGGGCGGCCAUGGUGGCGGUGCGCUGCCUUCUGCUGCUGCUGUGCGGCGCUGUGCUGGGGCGCGCCGUGCACCUCGACUUCGCCGAGCACCGCAGCCAGGCGGCCAAGAUCAAGGUCAACCCCCGUGGCAACCUGUGGGCCACAGGUCACUUCAUGGGGAAGAAGAGCGUGCCGGGCACCCAGCGAAUGGAUGAACUGCGGCAGCCGGCGGCGCCGAUGUCUUUCGGCCCCUCGCUCAGAGCUUUGCUGGAGGACGUGGUGGAACUGCUUACCCGGGAGCUCCUGAAAAUCCUCUUGCAAGAAAGACUUUUGGAUCAGAACCAAAGAAAAUACGAUCUCGCUGACCAGCAGAAAGUAAUGGAGAGCCUAGAAGAGAUGAAAUCCUCAUGGGUGUGUCCUGUGUGUGCUCCCACUGAGCUGCCAUGCUUGAGGAGCCAUUCAGUAGCUGAACACAGAUUUAGGUAAACUGAGGAUCUGCUAGCAAACUAAUCCCCUUGGGACAGAAGAUACAGCUGGAGAUGGAGCCAGAGCUAGAACCCAGUGCUGGACAUCAGCCUUUGGAGACUGGGCUUUUAACAAAGGUGCUGGAGAAGUAUUUCUCAAACUGAAGAAGCGCAGCAGUGAAGGAUGAGGUCAGCAGGCUAAGCUGUGCAUGGCAAAUGGAGGAGAGCAUCAUCCUUGUGGGUUACUGUAGCAACAUCACAUUUAUUCUUUCUGUAAUACUGUUAAUAGUGAUUGCUUGUAUGAAAAGCAGAUCCUCCCUGUAUAUUUCCUGUAUGUUUUCUGCUUCCUUGUUGUCUGAUGUGCCCCUGUGAAUAAAACCAGCUCUUUGCA